rnacentral:rRNA from 1 species
AACGAACGCUGGCGGCGCGUCUUAAGCAUGCAAGUCGAGCGGCAAGGGCAGCAAUGCCCCUAGAGCGGCGGACUGGUGAGUAACACGUGGGUGAUCUACCUCUGGGAUGGGGAUAGCUUGUGGAAACACAGGAUAAUACCGAUUAAGCUUGUCGGGUUGCGGCCCGAUAAGGAAAGGUUCGUUCGGACCGCCCGGAGAUGAGCCUGCGGCUGAUUAGCUUGUUGGCGGGGUAACGGCCCACCAAGGCGAUGAUCAGUAGCCGGCCUGAGAGGGUGAACGGCCACAUUGGGACUGAGAUACGGCCCAAACUCCUACGGGAGGCAGCAGCUAAGAAUAUUCCGCAAUGGACGAAAGUCUGACGGAGCGACGCCGCGUGGAUGACGAAGGCCGAAAGGUUGUAAAAUCCUUUUGCUGGGGAAGAAUAACCAUGGGAAGAAAUGCCCGUGGGAUGACAUGAACCGGCGAAUAAGCCCCGGCUAACUACGUGCCAGCCGCCGCGGUAAUAC